rnacentral:rRNA from 1 species
AUUUAUCGGAGAGUUUGAUCCUGGCUCAGGACGAACGCUGGCGGCGUGCCUAAUACAUGCAAGUCGAGCGGACAGAUGGGAGCUUGCUCCCUGAUGUUAGCGGCGGACGGGUGAGUAACACGUGGGUAACCUGCCUGUAAGACUGGGAUAACUCCGGGAAACCGGGGCUAAUACCGGAUGGUUGUCUGAACCGCAUGGUUCAGACAUAAAAGGUGGCUUCGGCUACCACUUACAGAUGGACCCGCGGCGCAUUAGCUAGUUGGUGAGGUAACGGCUCACCAAAGCGACGAUGCGUAGCCGACCUGAGAGGGUGAUCGGCCACACUGGGACUGAGACACGGCCCAGACUCCUACGGGAGGCAGCAGUAGGGAAUCUUCCGCAAUGGACGAAAGUCUGACGGAGCAACGCCGCGUGAGUGAUGAAGGUUUUCGGAUCGUAAAGCUCUGUUGUUA